rnacentral:rRNA from 1 species
GUAGUCAUAUGCUUGUCUCAAAGAUUAAGCCAUGCAUGUCUAAGUAUAAGCAACUAUACUGUGAAACUGCGAAUGGCUCAUUAAAUCAGUUAUCGUUUAUUUGAUAGUACCUUACUACUUGGAUAACCGUGGUAAUUCUAGAGCUAAUACAUGCGAAAAACCCCGACUUCGGAAGGGGUGUAUUUAUUAGAUAAAAAACCAAUGCCCUUCGGGGCUCCUUGGUGAUUCAUAAUAACUUAACGAAUCGCAUGGCCUUGUGCCGGCGAUGGUUCAUUCAAAUUUCUGCCCUAUCAACUUUCGAUGGUAGGAUAGUGGCCUACCAUGGUUUCAACGGGUAACGGGGAAUGA